ACCUGUGGGAUGUGAUUAUAACUCCAAGACCAUCAACAGGUGGCAUGGAUCCAAGGCCAGAGUUCUCUCUACGAUCUAUUUACAUUCCUCGUUAUUUUUGUAUUUACUCAAGUGAAAAACGUGCUUGAGCAGCAUUUCUCACACGACAGGGCGCAAAAUGACAAUAAAAAGGUCAAUAAAAUUGCUCAUGAUUAUGCUUGGGAUGUUGAUCAUCAAAGAGUUAAUGCACCAUGGGGAUUCCCCCAGAUUAUCCCUAAAUUUUAAUCAUCUAAAUAACUUUGGUGAUGACUAAUUCAUCGGAUCACUUUCAAAUGUGACGUCAAGUUAGAAUUGACUAUGGAAUGUAUAUUUCUAUUUCGAGACUGAUAAAAAAAAACGUCUCAGAGUCACCAGUCAAAUAGCAGCAGGUGUGGCGGUCACUUGAGGACUAAAAGGAGAAAGAGAAUGACUUGGGAACUGGUCAAAGACCUAAACUGUCAUAAAUUCUUUUAACUUAGGAAAUAAUAGGGAGAUUUAUUGGGUUAUUUUCACCUUUAUCUGACAUGAAACCAUACACGUGACUAAUUCAAGGAUUGAUUCAUUUUUCAACAAUAUGUUGCUUUGAAAAAAGAUCUCAUUGGUUAUAUAUAUAUUUUUUUUUAUUACUUUUUAU